CAGCAAGGUUCGUCCUAAGUGGGAAGUAUAUUGCAAUACAGGCCCACCUCAAGAAGCAAGAAAAGUCUCAAACACACAAUCUAACCUCACACCUAAAGGAGCUAGA